UUCAAAAAUCUGAAUUCGGACCGGACUCCAAACUCGAAACCUAAAUCCGAAUUCAAUAUGAUGAAUUUUAAAAAUUCAUAUUCAAAUUCGAAUCCGACCAACAAUUAUUUUUCUUUUCAAUAUUUCAAAAUAUUAUAUUAAAUCUAAAUUUCUGAAAUACAAAUUCAAAUAUAACAUCAAAAUUUUAUAUAAAUAUUAUAUAUAAUAUAAAAUAAGGAUUCGAAUUCGGAUCAGAUACAAUCAAAAUUCAUAUUCGGAUUCAUAUUCGUCAAAUUCUUAUUUUUGAUAUUCAUAUUCAAAAUCAUAUCUAUUUAGCAUAAGAUAAAUUUACUCUUAUUAGAUUCGGAUAAAAUUUUGAAUAUCCGU
rnacentral:lncRNA from 1 species